CCAUAUUUCAAGCGUUAAUCACCAGAUUUCAUCUUAUUUACUCUGUUUCAUCGUCUUUCCCCACUGCGCUUCUUCUCCAAUCGUAGUUUUCUCUGCUCUAUCGUCUUUCCUUGCUGUACUUCUUCUCCAACAAUUCUCGAUUUCUUUCCGGGAUUCUUUUCUGUGAAUAUCAAUAUUUCUGAUGUCGACAGACAAUAAAACCAAAGCGCCAACUAGCUGUCCACCAAAAAAGAAGUGCCGGUACUCAGCAGAAACAAUGUCUAAAACCAAGCUUAGGAGACAUGACCUGUACAAACAAUAACCAGUUGAUAAAAAAGAGUCGCUUCUAUCACAGCGAUGAUUAAAAGAACUUGAAGCAAAAAAAAAAAAAAAAACAGCACGUAUUGAUUGAUUACACUGAAGAAGAGUCAUUGUUCCAAGCUGGGGCGAACUUGCGUUGGCAAAGAACUCUCACGAUACACGAACCAUCUUCUGUUGGUAACGAAGGUACGAAAUGAAAAGAAGUUGAUAUAUCUGCAUUUGACGGGGCAGCAAUCGAUUCUGACAAAGAAAAGAAUGUUACUGACUAUUUGUCUGUGUUUGAACUUGGUUCGACAUCUGGUGUACCUUGCGAGGGACACGAUGCAGAGCCGUCGGCCGUUAAAAUAAAGCUGCCAGCCUCGAAGCUCAUGUACCUAAAUUGCGGGUUAAUUUAAAAAAAGGGAAGAGUAUAUGUGAUGCUCCUACCAUUCAUGAAACAGGUAAACUUAAGCCUUUAUAUUAUACUUUGUUGCCAGUGGCAUGUUAACGGUAUAUUACUGUAAACCAUGAGUGUCUACGCAUACCUCAUGUUACAAUAAUAUCUACCAUACAUGUUCCUUAGUGAUCCAAUUUUUCCCCUAAUGAUACUUUUACAUAUUCAGCUAAUAACCGGACCAGAAAGGUAUGCCUGGCUACUAAAGAGCAACAAUGUGACUAUGUUGCUCUAAAAAAGGUUCCGAACUGCCAGUACUGUGGUGCCAAAAAAUUUGAGUAUGAGCCUCCAGGAUUUUGUUGUAGCAACGCUUCGGUUAAGUUGACAUCACAUGAAAUGCCUGCUGAACUAUAUACUGAAGAAUUUGAGCACUUUCGUACUUACUUUAGAAUGUACAAUAACAUCUUUGCGUCUGCUUUACUUGGAGUGAACUAUGACAAGGCGCUAGCAAAAGGAAACCAUGGUAUUUACACAUUUAGAGUAUAAGGAUAAAUGUAUCACUACAUAAAUGAUUUAAUUCCACCAAAUCGACAGCCAAGAAAUUUACAACUGUAUUUUUAUGAUGAUAAUACUAAAAUGUUGAAUCGAAUGACUUCCUCAGGUAUACUUAGACAAUCAGUUGU